rnacentral:lncRNA from 1 species
CACACUCUUUCAAGUUCUAACUGUCAAUACUAUGCUCCAGUACUCCAAAACACCCGAAAUUGUAACACCAAAAAGAAACAAUAAGAGAAUGCGAUGCCUGAGAAUGACCGUAAAUGGGUGCUCCACUCCUGUUCUUUUAUCUAGUAGUGUUAACGACAACAUGUUAUCCCUACUAUCCAUUUCUCACCUCCGUCCCAUCUGACACAUUAGUAAUUACUAACUAUCCUUUCAGCCACCUCUACACCUUAAUGCACUUAAUUAGGUCUAUCCUAAGUACAUUCGCCGUGACCUCCUCCAGAAAUUGGAAACCCGUCUCGGGUUUUAUGUAUG